rnacentral:piRNA from 1 species
UGGCCACUGUUACCUUAACCCUCAGGCUUC